AUUGAACGCUGGCGGCAGGCCUAACACAUGCAAGUCGAGCGUGCGGCGGACGGGCGUGUAAUGUCUGGGUAACUGCCUGAUGGAUGGGUAUAACUACUGGAAACGGUAGCUAAUAUCGCACCCCAUCAGAUGUGCCCAGAUGGGAUUAGCUAGUAGGUGGGGUAACGGCUGACCUAGGCGACGAUCCCUAGCUGGUCUGAGAGGAUGACCAGCCACACUGGAACUGAGAUACGGUCCAGACUCCUACGGGAGGCAGCAGUGGGGAAUAUUGCACAAUGGGCGCAAGCCUGAGGCAGCCAUGCCGCGUGUGUGAUGAAGGCCUUCGGGUUGUAAAGCACUUUCAGCGGGGAAGCGUUACCCGCAGAAGAAGCACCGGCUAACUCCGUGCCAGCCGCCGCGGUAAUAC
rnacentral:rRNA from 1 species